CGUGAGCGCCGGCCCGGUCCAGCCACCUGGGGGCGCCGCUGACCCCAAAGUCUCUGGAGCUUACCUUGCACAGAGCAGGACUUACCUACUCUGAGCUAAGAAUGACCCCGUGCUAACCGAGGUGACCCUGCCCCACCUCGGGCUUGACCCGGCGCUUCAGGCUGGCUCUGUAAGCCGGAAUGACUUUGCUCCAAAGCACGUGACCUGCGCUAAAAAGGGUGGACCCUCUCGCUACCAUGGUGAUCGGCGCUCUGAGAGGGCCUGACCUGGCGCUAACAGGGAUGACCUGAGCAGAUCCCGCGCUGAGAUGUGCUUGAGUUACCCGACUGCUGCGUGCCCUGGUUCUCAAGGCUCACCUUGCCCAUAUUAGACGCUGAGCUUCUCCUGGCUCUUGCACUCUAGCGAGUCUGCCCCGCCCCACUCCCAGAUUGGCCUCUGGGGUACACCUUUCCCUUCCGGGCCUUCCCGGAAGUUCUGGGACACCUGGUUGGAGAGAAGGCUAUCUGGCCAGGCACACCCUACAGCUCCAGGAGAAAGGAGUCUGCGACCUUAAGAAGGUGGCUGGAUGUGAGGAGGGGGUCUUCAAGAGACUGCUGGUAAUUGAAACAGUGGAAAGCCAAAUGAAGAUAAGGACAGACUACUUCCCAGAAACCUAGAGGAAAAUAUACAUUAGUGGGAAAUCCACCCUGGCCUGGAAAUAGUUCAAAGAAGGGAAAUAGAGGCCCCCAGGGUAGAUUCCACUGGGGAUGCGCCUUCUUUUGGAAUGGAGCCACGUGGGAUGCAUGGAGGUGCAUGACAGAGGCUCCCACAGAUGUGUGCAGAAGGCGGAGGAGUAAGUUCUCACUUGCUGAAGCUCCACUGUGGGCAAAGACACCUGGAUCACUGAUCGGAACGAGACUUGAACCAGACAGCACCAGCACACAGUGGGUGCUUAGUGAGUAAAUGUUGAAAGUCUGAAUAAAUGGCCCUCCUGCCCUGGAGGUCUUCUAGCCUCUCAUUGUCUCUG
rnacentral:lncRNA from 1 species